CUGGGCUAGAUGGGGAGUUAGCGGUGCCCUGUAACCUGCAAUCCGCUACAGCAGGAUCGAACAGUUGUCUCGGUGCAAAGUGGUUGAAUAUGUAUGCAGGUUUUCGGUGAUGAAAUCAAGGUCUUGUGCAAUCGACUCCUUCGAAUCGUGUCAGGUCCUGACGGAAGCAUCACUAAGGAGACCUGUUGAUGUGCCAUGAGGAAGCUUUGGUGGAGCUGAACAUCUGCAAGGCAGUCGGUCAUUUUGCAACAAAACUUCCGCCCAG
rnacentral:SRP_RNA from 1 species